rnacentral:rRNA from 1 species
AUUGAUGACGGCCUUCGGGUUGUAAACCUCUUUCAGCAGGGAAGAAGGCCUUCGGGUGGACGGUACCUGCAGAAGGAGCGCCGGCUAACUACGUGCCAGCAGCCGCGGUAAUACGUAGGGCGCAAGCGUUGUCCGGAAUUAUUGGGCGUAAAGAGCUCGUAGGCGGUUUGUCGCGUCUGGUGUGAAAUCCCGAGGCUCAACCUCGGGCUUGCAUCGGGUACGGGCAGACUAGAGUACUGUAGGGGAGACUGGAAUUCCUGGUGUAGCGGUGGAAUGCGCAGAUAUCAGGAGGAACACCGAUGGCGAAGGCAGGUCUCUGGGCAGUUACUGACGCUGAGGAGCGAAAGCAUGGGGAGCGAACAGGAUUAGAUACCCUGGUAGUCCAUGCCGUAAACGUUGGGCACUAGGUGUGGGGCUCAUUCCACGAGUUCCGUGCCGCAGCUAACGCAUUAAGUGCCCCGCCUGGGGAGUACGG